AUGGCGGCCAUGUGGUCUCCGAUCAUCGGACUCCUCCUGCUCCUGCUGCAACUAGCGCCGUCCUCUUCCUCCUACAUCCAGUUGCCGCUGGAAGGCAGCGUCCACCCUGUUGGUUACUUCUAUGUCACGAUGAACAUUGGUGGGAAGCCCUACUCACUGGACAUCGACACUGGCAGCAAUCUCACGUGGCUGGAGUGCAAGUACCCGGGCCACCAGUGCAAUACCUGCAAGGGACCCCAUCGACCAUAUGAGCCAAAUAGACAUCACAAGAAGUAUGUUGGCGGGACGUCAUCGGAAGGGUUCAUCGUCAACGACACGGUGUCUGUCGAUGUGCUCUCUCCCUCUCUUCCUUCCAGGAGAGUACAAAUUUUCUUCGGGUUCGGAUGUGGAUGUAACCAGAAACCACUGAAAGAUUCACCCGUAGAUGGCGUCCUUGGUCUUGGGAUGGGAAAGGUAGGUUUUGUCGCGCAAUUGAAGGCGCAUAACGUGAUCCGCAAGGAUAUCAUUGGGCACUGUCUCAGCAUCGAUGGAGGGGGCUACCUCUUCGUCGGGGAGCAUCACUUACCCGACCACAUAACCUGGGCCCCCAUGAGAAAAUACAGCCAUUACUACACACCUGGCCCAGCACAGCUGUUACUUGGCGGAGAGAAGAUAGGCAGUCAGAAAAUGGUGGUCUUUGACAGUGAUAAACAGGACAUGCAGGGAAUUAAUUCCGUUUGGGUCUUUCAGGUGAAGAGGAGUGUCAGCGGCUCACUUCAAAGGGUGACUGAUCAUGCGCUUCCUGUAUGUUGGAAGGGCCCAUUCCAAUCAAUCCAACUGGUCAAGAGGAAAUUCAAGCCACUAGCGCUUGAAUUUACCAACAAAGUCAUGCAUAUCCCACCAGAAAACUACCUCGCACUCACGGGAGAAAAGAAUGUAUGCUUGGGCAUCCUUCAGACACCAAAGGCUGGUGGCCAAAUGAUAAUAAUUGGAGAUGUUACAAUGCAGGAUUUGCUUGUGAUAUAUGACAAUGAGCAGAAGCGUGUCGGAUGGAUCAGUAAACAGUGUAAACAUACUCUGGAAAUACCAUCAAUCAAUGCUCUCUGA
rnacentral:rRNA from 1 species